rnacentral:rRNA from 1 species
GACGAACGCUGGCGGCGUGCUUAACACAUGCAAGUCGAACGAUGAACCGGAGCUUGCUCUGGGGAUUAGUGGCGAACGGGUGAGUAACACGUGGGCAACCUGCCCCAGACACCGGGAUAACAAUUGGAAACGAUGGCUAAUACCGGAUACGACCACUUCGGGCAUCCGAUGGUGGUGGAAAGGAUUCUGGUCUGGGAUGGGCCCGCGGCCUAGCAGCUUGUUGGUGGGGUAAUGGCCUACCAAGGCGACGACGGGUGGCCGGCCUGAGAGGGGAUGCGGCCACACUGAGACUGAGGCACGGCCCGGAGUGCAACGGCAGGCAGCAGGGGGGAAUAUUGCGCAAUGGGCGAAAGCCUGACGCAGCGACGCCGGGUGAGGGGCGAAGGUCUUCGGAUUGUAAACCUCUUGCAGCAGGGAUGAAGCGAAAGUGACAGUACCUGCAGAAGAAGCACCGGCUAACUACGUGCCAGCAGCCGCCGUAAUAC